rnacentral:rRNA from 1 species
CCUACGGGCGGCAGCAGUGGGGGAUAUUGCACAAUGGGGGAAACCCUGAUGCAGCGACGCCGCGUGAGUGCAGAAGUAUUUCGGUAUGUAAAGCUCUAUCAGCAGGGAAGAAAAUGACAGUACCUGACCAAUAAGCCCCGGCUAACUACGUGCCAGCAGCCGCGGUAAUACGUCGGGGGCAAGCGUUAUCCGGAUUUCCUGGGUGUAAAGGGCGCGUAGUCGGUGAUGUAAGUCUGAGGUGAAAGCCCGUGGCCUAACCCUGGGACUGCGUUGGAAACUGUUUAACUGGAGUACAGGAGGGGCAGGUGGAAUUCCUGGUGUAGCGGUGAAAUGCGUAGAUAUCAGGAGGAACACCGGCGGCGAAGGCGGCCUGCUGGACUGAAACUGACGUUGAGGCUCGAAAGCGUGGGGAGCAAACAGGAUUAGAUACCCGUGUAGUC